CUUGCCCACACAGAAGAUAAGGAACAGUUACUUGGUUUCAAGCCUCUACACCAUCACCAAGGACAGCUGGAACAGAAACAUGUUCAGCUGCAAUGUUUGGCCUGCAGGCAGUGAUCAAGCUGUCAAAACCUCGAUAUGUGUCCAGGUUCUCUGAUCAUGCAGCACCUGUUACUGUGAAACUGAGCCCUCCCAGUCCUAAGGCAAUGUUCUCCAAUAAACAAGCAGAGCUCAAAUGUGUUGUUACUGGACAGGAUAGAAGCAUUUUAUCUGAUACUAACAUCAGUUGGUACAUUAAUGGACAGCAAGUGACCAAUGGGAUAACUGAUGGUAGCAAUUCAGGAGAAAAAUACAGCACAUUAACUCGAAACCUUGCUGAAUGGAAGAAAGCCAACACAGUGAGCUGCUCUGCCACAAGAAUCGACAUGGAACCAGUAACUCAGAGUCUGACUGUCAACAGAGGAAAUGAACAGCCCAACAUUGAAGUCCAAAUUGCUCCAAAUAGCACAGACAGUGAAGUCACUCUGGUGUGUCUGGUCACCAGUCAGAGGCUGCAAGAUUACUACAUCGCCUGGUCAGAAAGUUCUGGGAAAGAUCCUGAAAAUUUCACUGAUGGGAUUAACUUACCCACACAGAAGAUAAGGAACAGUUACUUGGUUUCAAGCCUCUACACCAUCACCAAGGACAGCUGGAACAGAAACAUGUUCAGCUGCAAUGUUUGGCCUGCAGGCAGUGAUCAAGCUGUCAAACCUCGAUAUGUGUCCAGGUUCUCUGAUCAUGCAGCACCUGUUACUGUGAAACUGAGCCCUCCCAGUCCUAAGGCAAUGUUCUCCAAUAAACAAGCAGAGCUCAAAUGUGUUGUUACUGGACAGGAUAGAAGCAUUUUAUCUGAUACUAACAUCAGUUGGUACAUUAAUGGACAGCAAGUGACCAAUGGGAUAACUGAUGGUAGCAAUUCAGGAGAAAAAUACAGCACAUUAACUCGAGACCUUAAAGAAUGGAAGAAAGUCAACACAGUGAGCUGCUCUGCCACAAGAAUCGACAUGGCACCAGUAACUCAGAGUCUGACUGUCAACAGAGGAAAUGAACAGCCCAAUAUUGAAGUCCAAAUUGCUCCAAAUAGCACAGACAGUGAAGUCACUCUGGUGUGUCUGGUCACCAGUCAGAGGCUGCAAGAUUACUACAUCGCCUGGUCAGAAAGUUCUGGGAAAGAUCCUGAAAAUUUCACUGAUGGGAUUAACUUGCCCACACAGAAGAUAAGGAACAGUUACUUGGUUUCAAGCCUCUACACCAUCACCAAGGACAGCUGGAACAGAAACAUGUUCAGCUGCAAUGUUUGGCCUGCAGGCAGUGAUCAAGCUGUCAAAUCUCGAUAUGUGUCCAGGUUUUCAGAUCAUGCAGCACCUGUUACUGUGAAACUGAGCCCUCCCAGUCCUAAGGCAAUGUUCUCCAAUAAACAAGCAGAGCUCAAAUGUGUUGUUACUGGACAGGAUAGAAGCAUUUUAUCUGAUACUAAGAUCAGUUGGAACAUUAAUGGACAGCAGGUGACUAAUGGGACAAACGAUAGUGGCAAUUCAGGAGAAAAAUACAGCACAUUAACUCGAAACCUUAAUGAAUGGAAUGAAGUCAACAAAGUGAGCUGCUCUGCCACGAUCAACGACAUGACACCAGUAACUCAGAGUCUGACUGUCAACAGAGGAAUUGAAGAGCCCAAAAUUCAAGUCCUACUUCCUUCAGGGAGCACAGACAGUGAAGUCACUCUGGUGUGUCUGGUCACCAGUUCAAAGGAGCAAGAUUACUACAUCGCUUGGUCAGAAAGUUCUGGGUAUAAUUCUGGAACAUUCAUUGACGGGAUUACCUUGCCCACACAGAAGAUCAACAAUAGUUACUUGGUUUCAAGCCUUUACACCAUCAACAAGAAAAAGUGGGAGGGAACUGACCAGUUCAGCUGUAAUGUAUGGCCUGCUGGUCGUGAAAAAGCUAGCAGCCCCCAAUCUGCAUCUAAGUACUCAGGAUGUACAGGUGAAGAUUCCCAAGACUACAGGAAGUGAUGUGUUAUGUGCUUAGUAUGUUUUUGUGUAAACUUUAUGUUGUCAAAAUAUGUACUCUGUGAUGUCAUUGUUGCUGCAUCAAAAACCUGUUGUUUUUGUUGUUUUUGUCAUCUUGCUGACUGUUGAUUUGUCCUUGUCAUACUUGUUAGCAUCUUAUUGAAUGUGCUAUCUGUGCUACCUGCCCCAAAUAAAUGUUGCAUGGAGACACCU